GGGGUGCUCUACCGCUGUGCUACAUCCCCAAUCCUUACUAUUUUUCAGUGUCUAGCAAAGUUGCUGAGGGUGGCCUUGAAGUCAGGAUCCUCCUGCCUCAGCCUCCUGAAUCACAGGAAUUAUAGUCAUGCACCAUCAUACCCAGCUCCUCCUCCUUUUUUUUUCUAAACUUAAAAAAAAUGUAUCACAGAUGGAUUAAAGAUUUAAAUGUAAAAAUUAACCUGAAAUGUAUUCCUAUGUAUAAGUAUUUUUUUAAUCACUAAGACAGAAAAUUUCUGCCAGUUUGCCCUGAAGCCAGAAUUUUAGUUUUUCUUAUACUACUUUAUGAAAGUAAAAAUGUUUUGAUGAAAAAAAAAAAGAAAGAAAAUUAACCAAGUUAAAAGACAGGCAAAUAGGGAAGAAACUAUGUAAUUCACAAAUCUUUUAUAAGUCACUAAGAUAUGAUGACCUAAUAGAAAUAGGGUCAAAAUGUAUAAAGAGAUACCUCAAACAAAAAUAAAAAGAAAUGGCCAAUGGACAUGUUAAAAGAUAGUUUGAACUCUCUAUUGGAUAAAUUAAUGCCAAUAAAAACAAAAUACUACUUUCCCUUUAAACUUACAUCCUUCAGGGAAAAAAAAAAUUGUGGAGAGCCUACAGAAUGGGAGAAAAUAUUUCCCAGGUACUCUUCUGACAGUUUAUGUAAAAUAUAUAAAAACUCAAAAAACUUAGCACCCAAAACCAACCCAAUAAAUAAAUGGGCAAAUAAACUAAGCAGAUACUUCUUAGAAGAAAAAAUACAGAUGGUCAACAAAUACAUAAAGAAAAAGUUUGACAUCUUGAUCAAUCCGGGAAAAGCAAACCAAAAUUACUAAUACUAAUUACUAGUAUUGUGAUUACUAAUUACAAUACUAAGAUUUCAUCUCAGUCCAGUUAGAAUGGCAGUCAUUAAGAACAAAAUAUAAUAAAUGUUG
rnacentral:lncRNA from 1 species